rnacentral:lncRNA from 1 species
GAACAGUCGUAACUUCCUCUAGGAAAUACAUAUGAACGAACCGUAAACGGUUUUGGAAACUAGACUCAUUUAGCUUUCCAACCGUAUAUUACACACAUUCUGAUUCAUCAGGAGCUGUUCACAAAAUCCCGUCGAAGUUGACUGUUUUGCCAAAAUCAGAUUCUCGGACAGAUUCGUCCUACUUUACGAAAACGGCCAUAACUCACUCAAUAUGAUAGGUAUGAUCAAAUGGUUGCUGUCUCUGGAAAGUAGACACAUAGACCUUUCCAAUGGUACCAAUUUUACCAUAUUCUAGUGAGUGAGGUUUCUUGUAAGUCCCGUGGAGCUUGACCUACGAAACUUGGCAGAUUCUGAUUUCGCUAUUGAUGUGUCUUUCUUAUGUAGGGAUAGAAUAAGCCUCAACCUUUCAUACCAUUAAGUAUUGAAAAAGGAGUUACUGCCAUUACAUUGGCGUUGCGUGGGCGCAUAGCUACACUUAGCUUUACAACUUUUCAUAGCGAAUGAGAUGUCAAGGCUUUCGUAUUGUGUUGAGUACAUUGAUGCGUCUUAUUGUACUUAGAUGAGAACUCCAUCUCUUAACAUAUAUUUGUCAUCUUGCUUUAGACAAAACAACGGAUCUUUCUUUAGAGCAAAGACCUUGACUAAUCAUGGGAGUAUAUGUAGGCCUCACUAGUUAUAGAGCGCCUAAGCCGAUUGAUGGAAAAUCAUCUUCAAUACAGUCAUCGAGUGCCUUAUCGAGACCAUGUCUUCCCAAAAUCUUUUUCUUCGGAUGUUGAUACAUAUUGACAUCUCUUGAUCUAUCAAGAGUUCAUGUAAAUCCGGAAUGAACACGCAAAGGCAUAAUUCACCAUAUCUCUUCCAAAUCAAGUAGAGUCCAUGUGCGUUUCAAUACAUUUAGCAAAUGCAUGCUCCUAUGGUUUGGAGCCACUUGAUUCGGAUGAAUGAAGUCCGUUUUAGAUCUUCAUGUAUAUCUCUGAUCCCAUAGAGAUGUUAUUAUGACCACAUUCAUAGGCUGCAUGUUCAGUUAUUCGGAAACUACCAAACUGACAAAGUAGUGGAGUUCAAUGACAUCCAUUACGAGAGCAUAUCUCAUCGUAGUUGAUCCCAGUGCGUGUUAGUGAAAGACCUUGCGCCAUAAGGUGAGUCUAAGCUCUUACUCUCACUACGCUAUCUAACAAAAGCAUAGUUGAUAGGGUUUAGCUUGCGGUGUCGGCAUCACCUGCCCAAGGACCUAUCUCUUUGUUAAUGUU